rnacentral:piRNA from 1 species
UCAUGUUGUAGCCUAGGAUGGUCUGAACCC